rnacentral:rRNA from 1 species
AUUGAACGCUGGCGGCAGGCCUAACACAUGCAAGUCGAACGAGUGGCGGACGGGUGAGUAAUGUCUGGGAAACUGCCUGAUGGAGGGGGAUAACUACUGGAAACGGUAGCUCAUACCGCAUACCAUCGGAUGUGCCCAGACGGGAUUAGCUAGUAGGUGGGGAAAAGGCUCACCUAGGCUACGAUCCCUAGCUGGUCUGAGAGGAUGACGAGCCACACUGGAACUGAGACACGGUCCAGACUCCAACGGAGGGCAGCAGUGGGGAAUAUUGCACAAUGGGGGCAAGCCUGAUGGAGCCAUGCCGGGUGUAUGAAGAAGGCCUUCGGGUUGUAAAGUACUUUCAGCGGGGAGGCGUUACCCGCAGAGGAAGCACCGGCUAACUCCGUGCCAGCAGCCGCGGUAAUAC